GGGUCGUUAGUGUAGCGGUUAUCAUCCGGGCUUUCCAUUCAUUCGAGUGCCCGGGACAGGGGUUCGACUCUCCUACGACUCA